UUUAAAUACGCAACGAGCCCAUCGUGUUUUGUGUUGUGAUUAAAUGUUACCUGCUGCCGAGAGCAUAACACAGAGAUUGAGACGAUAUUUAAAGCAGAAUGAUCAAUAUUACACCAUCAUGUCGUGAUAAUAAUCCUCGUUGGGCCUAAAUUAUGCGGUUUUUGACAGCUGUCAGACAGGUCAAGAUCUUGUGUCCUCUGUGACCUAAGGGAUGGGUUUUCACUUCUCUGCGUGUGUGUAAAGAGCUCUGAGAGGACACACAGAUUGCAUCAUGCUAGAUGAAUACUGGCAACUGCUGGUUGCUAUGGAAAUCAGCACAUCUUUAGCUUUUCACUCAUUAGCGGGCCUCAAAAACAAACAAAACAAUGAAAAAGUGAGCUUUAAUCCAUAUGCCAAAGAUUGUACAGUCUUGUUGUAAAUUAUUCUGUCAAAAUAAAUGAGAAUAUGCAGAUCAACACACAAAUAUACACACAUCUACAAGCGUAUUUAACAGAUCGCGGGUGCUGAUGGGAAAAUGACUUUUAAUUUUCCUGACGGGCGAACAAACUGUUGAUUUACAUUUAGAUAUUUUAUCAUUUUUCUAUAUUACAAAUUAACCUCCGUGUAACCAGUCGGAAUUAUACUGUAAUAUGAGUUUCCUAGGUAAAGAUGUCACACAAACGCCAUCUGAUGUCAUGUUUACCACUGGGAAGGCUUUAGGCUUUCCUGUGGCUCAGUGGUUAGAGCGUCUGCCAAAUGCAUAAAUGUGAUUAAAUUCGAAGAGGGCAUUCAUGUGCAAUUUUUACCUAGGAAACUAAUAUAUUCCUAAUCCUGAAAGGCAGCAUUAAAAACGAGACUUUUAUGCACAAGUCUUGCACACUGAGAGAAUGCUGACAUCAGGUUGAGGGGUUUCUCCUUUAUCAUUUAAUGUGUUUUAUUUCACAUGUGAAAGGUACAUUUACCAUGCAAUCAAACAGGAAAAUUCGAAGUGUUUUACACAGUGUUGCAGUGAUUAUUAUCAAUGAUUUAUCCGUGCACACCAUUAUUAUUUUUAAAUUCGUUUGCACUUGUAAUCUUUAGUCGAAUACGCUGCUCCUCUCCCCCUCUCAACAACAACUCUUCACCACAUGACGUCAGCAACAUAAAAGAGGCCAGGCAUUUUUACCCCCCCCCUCCAGGCCCAACUUACAACAAACCAAUCACAAAGGGAAGGGCAAAAUAAAGCCCCGCCCUACAGUGGUUCUCAUUUCAGAAGCCGUUUCACUCGGAUACACGUCACGAUACGGAAAAGAAGUCAAUCGCAACUUCCCUUUCAUGGUGACUUUAAGGUGUUAUUGGAAAUGAUCCAAGUAUAUUGUAAUGUUUAUGUUUUACCAUCUUUAUUUAAUUAUAUUUGAGUUGGGGGUCUACAUCAUCGUUUUGCCUUAUGAGUCACACUGGUUGAACUCGCUCUGCCUCCUUACACUCCCAUUUCAAAGAAAGACAACAUUUAUUAUAGAUGCUAAAUCUUACAGCACCAACUGUCCGGUUUCACAAACACGGCUCUAAUUAUAAUGCUUGUUUAAGAUGUGACUUGUACUGACAUAUCUAAAAAUAUAUCAAUGCUGUUGUUAUGUCUUAGGACAAAAACAACGGGACACGAGAAGUUAACACACAGCACAGUGAAGUUUUACACACACACACAACAGGAAAGAAAAGUAAAAACACCUCACGGGAUCUUUUCCAGGAAGUUGCUUUUAACUUUGAUAGACAUGAAGUCCGAAACUUUGUUCAUGAAUGUGUGGCCUACAUUCUUGGCAAAUGUACAAUAUAAUAAUUAUGAGUGAACAUUCACUCUCAUGUUAUAUCUAACCUGUAUGAGUUUCUUUCUUCAGCAAAACACAAAAGAAGAUAUUUUGAAGAAUGCUGAGAACCCCAUUAACUUCCAUGUUCAUUGUAUAAAUACAAAACAAAAAAGAAGAUGGAUUGGUUUGCGUCAGACUCAGGUCUGUUGUUUUACUAACACAUGAAGACACACACGUGUCAGAUAGCCACACUAUGCCUAGUUUUACUUUUAAGUCCGAUACCUUUCAAAAUGUAUAAUGUUUUUAAAAAUCUGUCAUAAUGAAACCAUUAUAAUAAAUAAUCAUUAGUUUUAUGCUGCAGAAAUGAAAGUUUGUGGCACACCGCCAUCUAGUGGUCAUUACAGAUAUGGACUGGAUUUAUCUUCGUCCUAAACACAUAUUUCUUGCGUAUUUAACUGUGAAAAGAAGGUUUGGACACAACUGAACUUUUUUAUUGUGUGUUAUUAUAAGAUGUAUAUGCUGGAAACUUGUUUUUCUUUAGUAUGCAGCACAAAUAAAACGUUAGCAUUAGAGAAUAAUGUAUUUAAUCAGCACAGUUUCUGUUGUCUACUACACAAUGCAUUUCAAGCUUUGAAUUAUAAACAUUUACAUCGAAAGCCUUUCCAUCAUACGAUCAUGAGUAACACGUCUAGUGUGUCUGUUUGACAGGUAAUGUGUAGUUAUAUACAGAGUUGACUGGAAAUGCCAUAGAACAAUGAAACACUGUUAUCA